GAUGAAGAACGUAGCGAAAUGCGAUACGUAAUGUGAAUUGCAGAAUUCAGUGAAUCAUCGAAUCUUUAAACGCAUAUUGCGCUCUCUGGUAUUCCGGAGAGCAUGCUUGUUUGAGUAUCAGUAAACACCUCAACUCCCUUUUCUUUUUUGAAAUUGGAGCUGGACUUGAGUGAUCCCAACGCUUUCUUCCAAGAAAGUGGCGGGUUGCUUGAAAUGCAGGUGCAGCUGAACUUUUCUCUGAGCUAUAAGCAUAUCUAUUUAGUCUGCCUAAAAAACAGAUUAUUACCUUUGCUGCAGCUAACAUAAAGGAGACUAGUUCUUGUGCUGACUGAUGCAGGAUUCACAGAGACAGCUUCGGCUGACUUUGUAAACUCGAUCUCAAAUCAAGUAAGACUACCCGCUGAACUUAAGCAUAUCAAUAAGCGGAGGA
rnacentral:misc_RNA from 1 species